rnacentral:miRNA from 1 species
UGGCUCAGUUCAGAAGGAACAG